UACGAAGGGUGCAAGCGUUACUCGGAAUUACUGGGCGUAAAGCGUGCGUAGGUGGUUGUUUAAGUCUGUUGUGAAAGCCCUGGGCUCAACCUGGGAAUUGCAGUGGAUACUGGGCGACUAGAGUGUGGUAGAGGAUAGUGGAAUUUCCGGUGUAGCAGUGAAAUGCGUAGAGAUCGGAAGGAACAUCUGUGGCGAAGGCGACUAUCUGGGCCAACACUGACACUGAGGCACGAAAGCGUGGGGAGCAAACAGG
rnacentral:rRNA from 1 species